UGUGCCGGGGAAUGAUGGAUGUUCAUUUUAAACAGAAUAACCAAUGAUAUUUGCAUUCUGAGGCAGCAAGGUCUCAAACAAAUGGACUAGAAUUAACCAGAGAGGGGACAGAUAAUGCUGAAGUGUUAUUGUAAUGGGGGCAGCCUUUGAGUGCUGAACCAACACAAAAGAUGACAGAUAUCAAUGACCAGCUUACAGUGAUUGAGGUUGAUCUUUUGGGUUACCAGACAGCUGGGAGCCUUGUGAUGAACAUGACGGAACUCGAACUGGGGGUGUUUUGUCAGUAGCUUCACCAAACUGGUCAUCUCUGACAUUAACCCAAAUAGAACACAACAUGCCACAACAUGCAAGAAGUUCACCCAAAAGGUGCAUGUCAAAAUAAAAAGAAAAGAGAGAGAAAAAACACACACAAAAAACCCAGAAACAAUUUUAAUCAGACAAACAUUCACUUGGUACACAGUACAAACGUCUGUGCUAAGCCAUGAUUUAUACAAAUUACGAAUUCUAGCUUGGGGCGAAGUGACGUCAACUCCGAUCAACUCCUGUAUACACAGUGUAAA